rnacentral:lncRNA from 1 species
AGAACGAUAAUAAAGAAAAGAAGGAUUGACAGACACAAAGCAGACAUACAUUUUGAUGGUGAACGUGGACCAAAAGAAAGCUGCAAAUUAAGACUACGACAUAUAAAACUUUCUAGGAUUAAUUGAAAAAAUAUCAUGUCUCGGAGAAGAAAGGCUUGGUAGAGACUAAACAACUUACCCGAAUGAUCCCAGGGAUUAGUAAUUUAUGUGUUAUCUUAAACUUACUCUGUGCCAUGAAAAACCUGAAGGGAUUCAAAUA